GGGUUGUGAGGUUAAGCGACUAAGCGUACACGGUGGAUGCCCUGGCAGUCAGAGGCGAUGAAGGGCGUGCUAAUCUGCGAUAAGCGCCGGUAAGGUGAUAUGAACCGUUAUAACCGGCGAUACCCGAAUGGGGAAACCCAGUGUGACUCGUCACACUAUCAUUAACUGAAUCCAUAGGUUAAUGAGGCGAACCGGGGGAACUGAAACAUCUAAGUACCCCGAGGAAAAGAAAUCAACCGAGAUUCCCCCAGUAGCGGCGAGCGAACGGGGAGGAGCCCAGAGCCUGAAUCAGCAUGUGUGUUAGUGGAAGCGUCUGGAAAGGCGCGCGAUACAGGGUGACAGCCCCGUACACAAAAGCGCAUGUGCUGUGAGCUCGAUGAGUAGGGCGGGACACGUGGUAUCCUGUCUGAAUAUGGGGGGACCAUCCUCCAAGGCUAAAUACUCCUGACUGACCGAUAGUGAACCAGUACCGUGAGGGAAAGGCGAAAAGAACCCCGGCGAGGGGAGUGAAAAAGAACCUGAAACCGUGUACGUACAAGCAGUGGGAGCACAGGUUUACCUGUGUGACUGCGUACCUUUUGUAUAAUGGGUCAGCGACUUAUAUUCUGUAGCAAGGUUAACCGAAUAGGGGAGCCGGAGGGAAACCGAGUCUUAACCGGGCGUUAAGUUGCAGGGUAUAGACCCGAAACCCGGUGAUCUAGCCAUGGGCAGGUUGAAGGUUGGGUAACACUAACUGGAGGACCGAACCGACUAAUGUUGAAAAAUUAGCGGAUGACCUGUGGCUGGGGGUGAAAGGCCAAUCAAACCGGGAGAUAGCUGGUUCUCCCCGAAAGCUAUUUAGGUAGCGCCUCGUGAACUCAUCUCCGGGGGUAGAGCACUGUUUCGGCUAGGGGGCCAUCCCGGCUUACCAACCCGAUGCAAACUGCGAAUACCGGAGAAUGUUAUCACGGGAGACACACGGCGGGUGCUAACGUCCGUCGUGAAGAGGGAAACAACCCAGACCGCCAGCUAAGGUCCCAAAGUCAUGGUUAAGUGGGAAACGAUGUGGGAAGGCCCAGACAGCCAGGAUGUUGGCUUAGAAGCAGCCAUCAUUUAAAGAAAGCGUAAUAGCUCACUGGUCGAGUCGGCCUGCGCGGAAGAUGUAACGGGGCUAAACCAUGCACCGAAGCUGCGGCAGCGAACGUAUCACCCAAGACAACUUUACGGAGUUGACGAUUGACGGAGCGAAGCGACGUCAAAGCGUAUACAAAGUCGAGUUGGCUUAGGGAUACGUUCGUUGGGUAGGGGAGCGUUCUGUAAGCCUGUGAAGGUGGCCUGUGAGGGUUGCUGGAGGUAUCAGAAGUGCGAAUGCUGACAUAAGUAACGAUAAAGCGGGUGAAAAGCCCGCUCGCCGGAAGACCAAGGGUUCCUGUCCAACGUUAAUCGGGGCAGGGUGAGUCGACCCCUAAGGCGAGGCCGAAAGGCGUAGUCGAUGGGAAACGGGUUAAUAUUCCCGUACUUGGUGUUACUGCGAAGGGGGGACGGAGAAGGCUAUGUUGGCCGGGCGACGGUUGUCCCGGUUUAAGCGUGUAGGUGUGUGUUCCAGGUAAAUCCGGUUCACUUUAACACUGAGGCGUGACGACGAGGCACUACGGUGCUGAAGCAACAAAUGCCCUGCUUCCAGGAAAAGCCUCUAAGCAUCAGGUAACAUCAAAUCGUACCCCAAACCGACACAGGUGGUCAGGUAGAGAAUACCAAGGCGCUUGAGAGAACUCGGGUGAAGGAACUAGGCAAAAUGGUGCCGUAACUUCGGGAGAAGGCACGCUGACACGUAGGUGAAGUGAUUUACUCAUGGAGCUGAAGUCAGUCGAAGAUACCAGCUGGCUGCAACUGUUUAUUAAAAACACAGCACUGUGCAAACACGAAAGUGGACGUAUACGGUGUGACGCCUGCCCGGUGCCGGAAGGUUAAUUGAUGGGGUCAGCGCAAGCGAAGCUCCUGAUCGAAGCCCCGGUAAACGGCGGCCGUAACUAUAACGGUCCUAAGGUAGCGAAAUUCCUUGUCGGGUAAGUUCCGACCUGCACGAAUGGCGUAAUGAUGGCCAGGCUGUCUCCACCCGAGACUCAGUGAAAUUGAACUCGCUGUGAAGAUGCAGUGUACCCGCGGCAAGACGGAAAGACCCCGUGAACCUUUACUAUAGCUUGACACUGAACAUUGAGCCUUGAUGUGUAGGAUAGGUGGGAGGCUUUGAAGCGUGGACGCCAGUCUGCGUGGAGCCAACCUUGAAAUACCACCCUUUAAUGUUUGAUGUUCUAACGUGGACCCGUAAUCCGGGUUGCGGACAGUGUCUGGUGGGUAGUUUGACUGGGGCGGUCUCCUCCUAAAGAGUAACGGAGGAGCACGAAGGUUGGCUAAUCCUGGUCGGACAUCAGGAGGUUAGUGCAAUGGCAUAAGCCAGCUUGACUGCGAGCGUGACGGCGCGAGCAGGUGCGAAAGCAGGUCAUAGUGAUCCGGUGGUUCUGAAUGGAAGGGCCAUCGCUCAACGGAUAAAAGGUACUCCGGGGAUAACAGGCUGAUACCGCCCAAGAGUUCAUAUCGACGGCGGUGUUUGGCACCUCGAUGUCGGCUCAUCACAUCCUGGGGCUGAAGUAGGUCCCAAGGGUAUGGCUGUUCGCCAUUUAAAGUGGUACGCGAGCUGGGUUUAGAACGUCGUGAGACAGUUCGGUCCCUAUCUGCCGUGGGCGCUGGAGAACUGAGGGGGGCUGCUCCUAGUACGAGAGGACCGGAGUGGACGCAUCACUGGUGUUCGGGUUGUCAUGCCAAUGGCACUGCCCGGUAGCUAAAUGCGGAAGAGAUAAGUGCUGAAAGCAUCUAAGCACGAAACUUGCCCCGAGAUGAGUUCUCCCUGAGACUUUAGGUCUCCUGAAGGAACGUUGAAGACGACGACGUUGAUAGGCCGGGUGUGUAAGCGCAGCGAUGCGUUGAGCUAACCGGUACUAAUGAACCGUGAGGCUUAACCUUACAACGCCGAAG
rnacentral:rRNA from 1 species